UACGGAGGGGGCAAGCGUUGUUCGGAUUUACUGGGCGUAAAGCGCGCGCAGGCGGUUCGCCAAGUUUGGAGUGACAGUUGUCGGCUCAACCGACAAAGGACUUCAAAAACUGGUGAACUUGAGGACGAGAGAGGAACAUGGAACUCCAGGUGUAGUAGUGAAAUGCGUAGAUAUCUGGAAGAACACCAAUGGCGAAGGCAAUGUUCUGGCUCGUUUCUGACGCUCAGGUGCGAAAGCCAGGGGAGCGAACGGG
rnacentral:rRNA from 1 species